UUAGAAAAAAAGAAAGAUAGAUUAGUUAGAAAGAAAGAUAGAUAGAUUUGUUAGAAUGAAAGAAAGAUAGAUUAGUUAGAAAGAAAGAUAGAUAGAUUAGUUAGAAAGAAAGAACGAUAGAUUAGUUAGAAAGAAAGAUGGAUAGAUUAGUUAGAAAGAAAGAUAGAUUAAUUAGUUAGAAAGAAAGAUAGAUAGAUUAGUUAGAAAGAAAGAACGAUAGAUUAGUUAGAAAGAAAGAUGGAUAGAUUAAUUAGUUAGAAAGAAAGAACGAUAGAUUAGUUAGAAAGAAAGAUAGAUUAGUUAGAAAGAAAGAUAGAUUAGUUAGAAAGAAAGAUAGAUUAGUUAGAAAGAAAGAAAGAAAGAAAGAUUAGUUAGAAAGAAAGAUAGAUAGAUUAGUUAGAAAGAUAGAUAGAUAGAUAGAUAGAUAGAUAGAUAGAUAGAUAAGUUCAUUAGUACAUAUAGAAUGGUAGUUUAAUUGAGUCUAGGGCUUCAGGGAGUUUAGAUUUGAGUUGUGUUGUACACUACUGGGCCACCGUAGUCUUGGCUCAAUUUGAACAUGUUCGAAUGAAAGUCAAUGGGAUUUUUAUGGUUUUUAAUAUUAAUUUUUAAGAAAUCUGAAAGUCAAAUCAGUCUGAAAAGAUAUAGCACACUAAGUCAGAACAGUCUGAAGGUCUGACCCGAGUUUGGAGUUUGUAGAGUUAAAGCUCUAGGAGGAGUAGCAGUCAGAAAAUUUUGGGUCAGAAGAAUAAGAAUAACUAGAAUGUACAUUUCCAGAAGAAAAUGUGAAGUGGUGCUUGCAGUGGCAAAACUCGCCGCUCGGUUGCU